rnacentral:rRNA from 1 species
GCAUAACGCGAAGAACCUUACCCGGGCUUGAAAGUUACUGAAGCAUCCAGAGACGGAUGCGUCCUUCGGGACAGGAAACUAGGUGCUGCAUGGCUGUCGUCAGCUCGUACCGUGAGGUGUUGGGUUAAGUCCCGCAACGAGCGCAACCCCUAUGUCUAGUUGCCAGCACGUUAUGGUGGGGACGUCUAGACAGACUGCCUGCGCAAGCAGAGAGGAAGGCGGGGACGACGUCAAGUCAUCAUGGCCCUUACGUCCGGGGCUACACACGUGCUACAAUGGAUGGUACAGCGGGCAGCUACACAGCAAUGUGAUGCCAAUCUCGAAAAGCCAUUCACAGUUCGGAUCGGGGUCUGCAACUCGACCCCCGUGAAGUUGGAUUCGCUAGUAAUCGCGUGUCAGCAAUGACGCGGUGAAUACGUUCCCGGGUCUUGUACACACCG